CAGAAUAUGGGCAAGGAUUAAGUGGUUGUUAUCUGAGUGAUUGUCAGAACAAGGAGGCAAAAUCAAAUGCGAUGACCCUUUCUAGAAGAAAGAAUAAUGACAUCACCACAACCUAGACAUGGACUGUCCAACUCAAUCUGCAUUACAUCCCUCUAAGGAGAUGUUGAUUCCUGCCCACUUCAAUUUUGCUAAUCACAAUGCAACUCACAGACCCUACCCAAGCAGAGGGAGGACUGGGAACUGGGAGAGUCUGACUCAGACAAAAGAGGAUCUGGGCAGCAAGGGUGGAUUUUGAGCAGCCCUUCGUGAC